UUUUUUCCAUGUCAGUCUCUUUUUGCAGGUAAGCCUUUCAGGUGGGCAUCUACAAUUCUAUAGCACAGGAAGAUAUUCCAGACUGUCUGUUGAAGCUAUCUACAAAGAAAACAACAACAACAAAAAACCACUUUGUAACGUCAUCUGCGUGGCUCUGUAGAGAUCCCAGGUUCACCAGCAGGUCUCACAGGCGCCGUAAUGAAGUAGAAGGCAGCUUGGGAAAACCACGGGUUGUAACAGUGUGGUGCCUUAUAAAGGAAGAAGCAGUACCAAGGUCACUCAUCAGAGUAAUAUCUUCAAAAAUGAGCUAUACCAUGAAAGGACUGCUAAAACUGAUGUAGCAAUGAACUCUGUGGUAUUUGCUAGCCCACAGUUCCUGUCUUAUUUGUACAUUUCAAAAAACUAAAUGGAGGAAAUUAUAAGAAAGACAGAAAUGCAUAACCCUAUUUCAUCUGAAACACUUCAAGUGCACAAAUUUCUGGAGCAACUUAACCUUCAAAUUUGAGUGAACGGAUCCUUGGAUAAUUGAGUGGGUUGUAAGACUGGUUUUCUUCUGUUUGUUCUGUUUUGCUAUGUUUCUGCUGUAAGGUACAAUGACCAAGCACACUUAAUAGAUAUCCACAUUACUUGAGAUGCAAUCGACUUCACAGCUAUUCAUACAGUUUGCUAUCAUAACUUAAAUAAACAUGGCCAUGUCUUCA
rnacentral:lncRNA from 1 species